rnacentral:rRNA from 1 species
UGCAUAUCAAUAAGCGGAGGAAAAGAAACCAACAGGGAUUGCCUCAGUAACGGCGAGUGAAGCGGCAAAAGCUCAAAUUUGAAAUCCCCCCGGGGAGUUGUAAUUUGAAGAUUGCGUCUUGGAGGCGACCGUGUCUAUGUUCCUUGGAACAGGACGUCACAGAGGGUGAGAAUCCCGUGCGGCACGGCCCCCGGCUCCUUAUAAGGCGCUCUCGACGAGUCGAGUUGUUUGGGAAUGCAGCUCAAAGUGGGUGGUAAAUUCCAUCUAAAGCUAAAUACAGGCGAGAGACCGAUAGCGAACAAGUACAGUGAUGGAAAGAUGAAAAGCACUUUGAAAAGAGAGUGAAACAGCACGUGAAAUUGUUGAAAGGGAAGGGCAUGCCGUCAGAUUGUCAGUGUGGGUAAGAAGCGGGGUACAAAGACUGUGGAACGUGGCCCUCGGGUGUUAUAGCCGCAGUUCAUGCCCCGUCUCUUUCCGAGGCCUGCUUUGAGGACACCGACGUAAUGACGGUACGCCGCC